rnacentral:rRNA from 1 species
CACGUAGGGUGCGAGCGUUGUCCGGAAUUAUUGGGCGUAAAGAGCUCGUAGGCGGUGUGUCGCGUCGGCCGUGAAAACCUGCAGCUUAACUGUGGGCUUGCGGUCGAUACGGGCAUCACUGGAGUUCGGCAGGGGAGACUGGAAUUCCUGGUGUAGCGGUGAAAUGCGCAGAUAUCAGGAGGAACACCGGUGGCGAAGGCUGGUCUCUGGGCCGAUACUGACGCUGAGGAGCGAAAGCGUGGGGAGCGAACAGG